rnacentral:rRNA from 1 species
GACGAACGCUGGCGGCGUGCCUAAUACAUGCAAGUUGAGCGAUGAAGAUUGGUGCUUGCACCAAUUUGAAGAGCAGCGAACGGGUGAGUAACGCGUGGGGAAUCUGCCUUUGAGCGGGGGACAACAUUUGGAAACGAAUGCUAAUACCGCAUAACAACUUUAAACAUAAGUUUUAAGUUUGAAAGAUGCAAUUGCAUCACUCAAAGAUGAUCCCGCGUUGUAUUAGCUAGUUGGUGAGGUAAAGGCUCACCAAGGCGAUGAUACAUAGCCGACCUGAGAGGGUGAUCGGCCAAAAUGGGACUGAGACACGGCCCAAACUCCUACGGGAGGCAGCAGUAGGGAAUCUUCGGCAAUGGACGAAAGUCUGACCGAGCAACGCCGCGGGAGUGAAGAAGGUUUUCGGAUCGUAAAACUCUGUUGGUAGAGAAGAACGUUGGUGAGAGUGGAAAGCUCAUCAAGUGACGGUAACUACACAGAAAGGGACGGCUAACUACGUG